GUUNGAGUAAGCCAUGCGAGUCUAAAGGUUUCUUCGGAAACCUUGGCGGACUGCUCAGUAACACGUGGAUAACNUAACNUUAGGACUGGAAUAACCCCGGGAAACUGGGGAUAAUACCGGAUAGAUCAGGGAUGCUGGAAUGCACCUUGAUCCAAAGCCCCGGCGCCUAAGGAUGGGUCUGCGGCCUAUCAGGUUGUAGUGGGUGUAACGUACCUACUAGCCGACGACGGGUACGGGUUGUGAGAGCAAGAGCCCGGAGAUGGAUUCUGAGACACGAAUCCAGGCCCUACGGGGUGCAGCAGGCGCGGAACCUUUACAAUGUGCGAAAGCAUGAUAAGGGGACUCCGAGUGCCAGCAUCUAAUGCUGGCUGUCCUUGUGCCUAAAAAGCACAAGAUAGCAAGGGCCGGGUAAGACCGGUGCCAGCCGCCGCGGUAACACCGGCGGCCCGAGUGGUAGCCGCUAUUAUUGGGUCUAAAGGGUCCGUAGCCGGUUCGGUAAGUCCUUUGGGAAAUCUGGUUGCUUAACAAUCAGACUGCCAAGGGAUACUGCUGAACUUGAGACCGGGAGAGGUAAGAGGUACUUCAGGGGUAGGAGUGAAAUCUUGUGAUCCCUGGGGGACCAUCUGUGGCGAAGGCGUCUUACCAGAACGGGUCUGACGGUGAGGGACGAAAGCUGGGGGCGCAAACCGGAUUAGAUACCCGGGUAGUCCCAGCCGUAAACGAUGCUCGCUAUGUGUCAGGUACGGUGCGACCGUAUCUGGUGCCGUAGGGAAGCCGUGAAGCGAGCCACCUGGGAAGUACGGUCGCAAGACUGAAACUUAA
rnacentral:rRNA from 1 species